CUCUCAGUCCAAUAUUAUAAGUCCACAAGAAAAUGGUGAGAAGAUAGAUGUCUGCAUCGACGAUGAAACUGUCAAUUACUUAAACCGACAAGAUGUCAGAACGGCUCUUCAUGCCAGACUUGUUGGCGUUCACAGCUGGGAUGUUUGCAGCACCAUUCUGGAUUAUCAAUUGCUUGAUAUAGAGAUACCAACCAUAUCCAUAGUAGGAUUGCUUGUCAAGGAG
rnacentral:misc_RNA from 1 species